ACCUUCUCAUGAGCUCCUCUUAAUCUAACUCAUGAUUCUGCAUGGAUUCGCACGAGAAGCAGAGCCACUGCACAGUUAGAACAGACUAGCCACAGUCCCAAGUGGCUGUUGCGUAUGUUUGCUGUGCUACAACU
rnacentral:snoRNA from 14 species